GGAAGCGUGGCCGAGCGGUUGAAGGCACUAGUCUUGAAAACUAGCAAAGGGGCAACCCUUUCGUGAGUUCGAAUCUCACCGCUUCCGCCA
rnacentral:tRNA from 1 species